AGCGAACGCUGGCGGCAGGCUUAACACAUGCAAGUCGAGCGGGCACUUUCGGGUGUCAGCGGCGGACGGGUGAGUAACGCGUGGAAACGUGCCCUCUGGUUCGGAAUAACUCAGGGAAACUUGAGCUAAUACCGGAUACGCCCUUUUGGGGAAAGGCUUGCUGCCGGAGGAUCGGCCCGCGUCUGAUUAGCUAGUUGGUGAGGUAACGGCUCACCAAGGCGACGAUCAGUAGCUGGUCUGAGAGGAUGAUCAGCCACACUGGGACUGAGACACGGCCCAGACUCCUACGGGAGGCAGCAGUGGGGAAUAUUGGACAAUGGGCGCAAGCCUGAUCCAGCCAUGCCGCGUGAGUGAUGAAGGCCUUAGGGUUGUAAAGCUCUUUUAUCCGGGACGAUAAUGACGGUACCGGAGGAAUAAGCCCCGGCUAACUUCGUG
rnacentral:rRNA from 1 species